GGUUGCUUAGUGGUUAAGCACUUGGCUGCCAACCAAAAGGUUAGUGGUUCAAACCCACCAGCCA
rnacentral:tRNA from 1 species